rnacentral:rRNA from 1 species
GUCUAUGGCCAUACCACCCUAAACAUAACCAAUCUCAUCUGAUCUCAGAAGCUAAGCAUCAUUGGGCCUGGUUAGUACUUGGAUGGGAGA